CUUACAGCAAGUGAUAAGCAGCUACAAUACUAUGAGGUGAAGGAAUCGGAUCUGCGAGACAACGAAUGGCUUUAUCUGUAUGCUGAACUUGUAUUAUUCUCCAAGUGGGCAAUGGACCUUAGCGCUUAUUUGCCGGUGAAGAUGAAGAAAGUUGUGGUACGAACAAGGGAAGAUGUAGAGUCGAGUAAGAAGCUCAGGUCAAAGAAUGCAACUUUCUACCUGAGUUUCACGUCUUGUGGGGGUCUUGAAUGCAGAGGCAUAAUAAGGCGGACAACAGAUGGAAUACCACAACACAUGAGCCUUCAAGUUAAAUGUUGGAUCGACAGUUAGAGAGAGAUAGACGGUCCUUUUUUCCUUCUAUUUAAUUCAUCUUUGCCUAUGUUAAAAUAAUCCUGAGAUGUUAUAUUAUCUGAAGCAACCACUUAAUUUGUUUGAAUG